GCCACAGCGGAACCGUUUGCUUCAGCUGUCGUGUUUAUCAGGUCACUGGAUGGUGGAUUUCAAUGUGUGUUCAACUCUCUUGAGAAGCUCAGCCAACGUGUGCCAAGUGGCUUCGCUACAAUUGAGCAAUUCAGUAAUUCCAGCCACAGCGAUGGUUUCAUCCUAAGAGUUUUGAUUGCGAUGGUCAGGUGGUUUCUUUCUUCUCGAAUCUUCUUUUAGUUUUAACGCUGUUCCUGUUCUACUUUCAGAUAAUUAUCAGAAGAAAUUGAAGCGAAAGUCUAUUAUGACUUGAGAUAAAGUUAAUUCUGAGAUGCAUGCCAAGGACUCACAAAUACUUACUUGAAGGUUCUCAAGAAGGUGUCAAAUGAGGUUGCUUCUCAUUAAUUGAUCAUUCAUGGAGGAGGAAGCAAGCCGGAAAAUUAUAGUAAUGAAAGAGGGUUCUUUCACUGCAAACUGUUCACAGCCUUUUAAUUAAACAAAUUGGAAGCAGUGUUAAGUGACAAGAGAAUGGAAAGAAAAGAGUCAAAGAUGCCUUGUGUUGAACCAUGGAGCACUCCACAUACUUCACUUGGCCAGCACCCAGCCUCUGAACUCCAUCAGCCUGCUGCAUUGUUGCUGAUUCCUGCUGACCUAGACAACUAAGUUCACACUUCCUCUCUCUUCCUUCACCUUACCUAUUAAUAGACUGUGCUUUGGGGGUUCAAAUACUGGAAUUUGUAGAGUGAUAGAAUUCAACUUGCCAAAUAUCUAAUUAUAUUUAACAUGAGACUAACACCUGACAGUCUAUUUUUCCUUCUAAACCUGUUCUCUUCCUUUGACGAAGCUAAAACAGAGAAUUUGCUAGAUUAUAAGAACUGAAGUUUUAUAUGAAAUUUAUAGAUUAUAAAAUGUGCUGGUGCUUUUAUCCACUGCUAAGGAAACAAUAGCAUUUACCCGUAUUUGUAAUACAUGCUGAAUAAUUACUUAUAAUGUCUACCUCAUCUUUUUUGAAAUGCUUAUUUCGGUUUUAAUGUUUUUAC